rnacentral:tRNA from 1 species
UGGAUCACCUCCUAACAGGGAGACAAACAACGAUUUUGAUGCCUGAGUGUUUUUAUUCUUAGGCCGAAAUCCUGUCACCUUAGGUCGAUCGGUACCUCAGAUUUGAAAUCAAGAUAAUGCAGCAAUGUGUCGUGCUUGAUGGAGAUUUUCAGUUCCUAAACUUUGUCUAGGUCACACCCCAAAAGGGAUGAGACUCCUGGGCCAUUAGCUCAGGUGGUUAGAGCGCACCUCUGAUAAGGGUGAGGUCCCUGGUUCAAGUCCAGGAUGGCCCAUUCGGUGUUGGGGGUUUAGCUCAGUUGGUAGAGCGCCUGCUUUGCAAGCAGGAUGUCAGGAGCUCGAGUCUCCUAACCUCCACUGACCGAACUUUAUCCCCAUCUCCAAAUUGUUGGAGUUGAGCUCGAUUGGAGUGUGAUUUAGAUGUGUCCGCUGGAUGACCCCAGCUUCCUGUCAUUCCAAGUUUAAAAGUGAAAGCUUUGAAUUUGGUUGAUAAGAUGCUGGGCUCGAACUGAGCAAUCAGUUUGAAGUUCUAGCAGAACCUUGACAACUGCAUAGGUGAAGUCUGGAAAAACAAAGCAUCUUACAGAUGCAUUGUUUUGAGUCUAAUUUUUCGAAAGAGAGAUUAGAACCAGAACAAUGAAAAUUCUUUUGAGCAAGAGCCGAGACUCUUGAAUGUUCUUUGAUUCGUGUCGAGCGAAUCAGAGUUUGAUCUUGUUUUUAGUAAUAAAAACUUGAGAAUCUGCUUUCAACGGCGGUAAGCGUUCAAGAGGUUAAUUGGUCAAGCUACAAAGGGCUCACGGCGGAUACCUUGGCACACAGAGGCGAUGAAGG